CAGGGCAAGGGCAGGCCAGGGAAGGACCAGGGAAAAAGCAUGGCCAGGGAGGGGCCAGGGCAAGGGGAGGGCCAGGGCAGAACCAGGGCCAGGACAGGUACCUGGCAGGGCCAGGGUCUGGGACAGGGCCACGGCAGGGCCAGGGCCACAGCCAGGUCUGUGCUAUAGCCAGGUACAAGACAGGGCUCAGGCAAGGCUAGGGUGAAGGCCAAGGUAGGGCCAGGGCAGGGUCAAAGC
rnacentral:lncRNA from 10 species